rnacentral:rRNA from 1 species
AUACGUAGGUGGCAAGCGUUGUCCGGAAUUAUUGGGCGUAAAGCGCAUGUAGGCGGUAAUUUAAGUCUGUCGUGAAACUGCGGGGCUCAGCCCCGUAUGGCGAUGGAAACUGGGUUACUUGAGUGCAGGAGAGGAAAGGGGAACUCCCAGUGUAGCGGUGAAAUGCGUAGAUAUUGGGAAGAACACCGGUGGCGAAGGCGCCUUUCUGGACUGUGUCUGACGCUGAGAUGCGAAAGCCAGGGUAGCGAACGGGAUUAGAUACCCCGGUAGUCCGGGCCGUAAACGAUGGGUACUAGGUGUGGGAGGUAUCGACCCCUUCCGUGCCGGAGUUAACGCAAUAAGUACCCCGCCUGGGGAGUACGGCCGCAAGGCUUAAACUCAAAUGAAUUGACGGGG